rnacentral:rRNA from 1 species
GACGAACGCUGGCGGUAUGCUUAACACAUGCAAGUCGAACGAGACGGGAUGGACGGAGCCUUCGGGUGACGGAAAUCCUAGAAAGUGGCGAACGGGUGAGUAACGCGUGGGUAACCUGCCCUGUGGAAAGGAAUAGCCUCGGGAAAAUGGGAGCAAUGCCCUAUAAUAUAUCGAAGUCGCAUGGCUUUGAUAUGAAAACCAACGGGUCCAUAGGAUGGACCCGCGUCCCAGUAGCUAGUUGGUGGGAUAACAGCCCACCAAGGCGACGAUGGGUAACCGGUCUGAGAGGGCGAACGGUCACACUGGAACUGAGACACGGUCCAGACACCUACGGGAGGCAGCAGUGGGGAAUAUUGCGCAAUGGGGGCAACCCUGACGCAGCAAUACCGCGUGAGUGAAGAAGGUUUUCGGAUCGUAAAGCUCUGUUAUUGGGGAAGAAAAAAGACGGUACCCAAGAAGAAAGGCCCGGCUAACUACGUGCCAGCAGCCGCCGUAA